GGGGGUAUAGCUCAGUGGCAGAGCACCUGCUUAGCAUGCAUGAGGUCCUGGGUUCAAUCCCCAGUAUCUCCA